GGAGUUGAGCGGCGCGACGGUCCUGCAGCAGCUAGCCUGGGAUGUACCCACAGCUCACCGGGGAGUCCGGGCCACACGUCAGCUGGAUCUUGAAUGAGAUGAAGACGGGGAGAAAGGGCCUUCCGGACAAAGGGCUUACGCCCUGGAUAAAGGGCGUGGAGGGGCGUGGCACGUUCAGUCUGGACACAGCAUAAAGUGCAUUGGAGAGAGGCGGGAGACAGGAUGGAAAGGAGGGUGGGAAGAGCUAUGAAGCUCCCCAGGGCCUUGCUAACGCGUUUGGACUUUAUCCCGCGCCAGACUUUUUAAAGGUGGUAAGUAGUUUACAGAUGUGCGUUUUGAGGCCAGCACAUUUUGUUGUUGUCGUUUGUUUGUUUGUUUUUCUUUGAGACGGGGUCUCACUCCCAGGCUGGAGUGCAAUAACGUGAUCUCAGCUCACUGCAACCUCCGCCUCCCAGGUUCAAGCGAUUCCCCUGCCUCAACCUGUCGAAUAGCUGGGGCUACAGGCGCCCACCACCACGCCUGGCUAAUUUUUGUAUUUUUAGUGGAGACGGGGUUUCACCACGUUGGCCAGGCUGGUCUCGAACUCCUGACUUCAGGUGAUCCUCCCGCCAAGGCCUCCCAAAAUCCUGGGAUUACGGCCAUCGUGCCGGGCCAGCAGCACAGCGUCUUAAGCAAUUUUGGAUAUGAAUACCUUCGAGACGAGCUUGCGCUCCCACAGACCCCACCACUCCUACAGUCUGUAAUUACCCCCAGCUGCACCCAUAUGCGUAGCUUCCCUGGUCCAGAGGGACGUGCGUGUGUGACCCUGCAGGAUAGUGGGGUGGCCCUGCAUGGCAUGGCUGCCAGUGCUAAGAGGGGUGUGCCGCCAGCCUCUGAUCCCUCUCACCGGCGGGCCCCCCAUCAUCAUCACUAUAUGAUGACCUGAGGCGUCCAGGCUCCCGAGGAAAGCCUGCCGCCCUGGUUCCUACAAGGGACGCCUAAACACAGAGUCCUAAACACAGAGUCCUAAACACAUGCAGGGUUGGAGGGAGACUGACGAACUCAACUACCAGCCUGCAGUCGGCAGCCAUCAGCGGAUUGCAGGUACCCCGCGUGCGUGUCUCGGCUACAGUGCGGAAGACAAGAGGCCUUAGGAAGUGGGAACGGGCGCCAUCUGGUGGUCAUCUCUGGAGUGACAGCAGAGAACUGGAACAUAUUUUAUAUUUUGUUUCCACUGCUCCAUGACUUGACUAAAGCAGAAACAAUUCGGAGAGUACUGUAGUAUUAAAUACCUAAGGGCCACACCAGGCCAGAAAGCAACAAAAAAGAAAUGCUAAAAAGAAGUUCUUCAGAGAGGGAUCCAAGAAGGAAUAAGUGAAGGGCGGUGCUCCAGGUGUGAAUGGAGACGACUUCGAGCUCACUGUGCUGAGAAACUGCUUUUCAGAGGGCUUCUACAGAGCCCACAGCUCAUCUUCUAGAAGUCAUCUAUAGCUACUGUCAGUUUCUAGGCUUCCAAGGACACCCUUCAGCCUACUGCAAUGCAGCUUCUUACCCUACUCCUCCAUGGACAGAUGACAUCCAUUUCUGAAAUCCAGGGGCCACACUUCAAUCUAUCUCAUGAGGUAUCUCUGCUUGGUGGACACCGAUGUUCUCCCUUCCUGAAGACUCUGCUUCUCUGACUUCUGUGAGCAUAGCCUCUUCUGGUCACUCGUUCUCUGGCAUAGACUUCUUCUCUGUGGGCUGGCAGCGAACAGUGGGGCCUUCAGCAUCAUUAUUGCUCAGGUCAGUACAAAGGACCACAUAAGGGAGUAUGAUAGUGAGGAGCCAAGAUCACUCCACAUCUCGAGAAGAGAUGAUAGCAGCCUGGAAUGGUUUGGUGGCCAUGGGAAUAAAGAGAAAGGGACUGAUUUGACAGAUGUUUAAUGGGUAAACAUCACAGGAUUUGGCAAUUGGCUAUGGAAGAUAAAUGGGAGGAAGGAGUCUAGGAUGACUGUUGUGUUUCAUCUUGUUGGGGGGUGACUUGACUAGGCUGAUGACUUUGCUCAAUCCAAUAGGGGAUACAAAAACAGCAAAGACAUGAAAGAGAAGAUGAUGAUAGUGGUAUCCCAGAAAAUGAGAGGGUAACCAACAGCACCAAAAGUCAGGCAAUCAGAUAAACCAGUUUCUAAGCUGAGGAAGGGGAGUGACAAUUCUUUCAAGAAGAUUGUCCACAGAGAGAAACAAUAGGGUAAUAACCAGGAGUGCAGGGUUGAAGGGGCGUUUUUUGGCUGAGGGCAACGGACCAGUAGAGGCUGAGCAGCUGAAAGUACAGGUGCCAAGGGGGUGGCUGAAGGAGUAAGAUCCCAUUGAUGGGAUGAAGUGGGAUCAUAACAGAUGACAGGUUGAACAGAAAGGCUAUCUCCAUGCAUGAGGCAGCAGGAUGCAGAUGUACACACUCCCUUGGAGGCUCACAGUGGGAAGUGAAAGUUCCUGCAUUUUGAACUUUCCUCCCUCUGUGAAUUAGGAGGUGAGGUUAUCUAUUAGGCACGUGGGUGAGUAAGCAGUUGGAACCAAGUGGUGAAUGUUUAUAGAAGAGGGUUCUGACCAAAGACAAAGAUUGCUCAAUGGCACUGAGGUCCAACCGCAGUUGAAUGCCCUAGAUUCAUAACAGCCACAAUCUGUACACUUCUAUCAUUUUUAGUUGUUAUAUUCUACACCCCAAGCAGAUACACACAGGGAUAAACUGAGUCAGGCAAUUCAGGCUUGGAAGCUUGCAAAGCUGGUAGAGUUUGAGGAUGAGGGGUUUAAGGAGCUGAGGGCAUGAAUGAGAAGUCUGAGUUGACCACAGGGCACCAGUUGCAUAAGGUAGAGAAUGGGGUUAAAAAGGGAAAAACAAAAGAAAAAACCGGCUGGGCGUGGUGGCUUACACCUGUAAUCCCAGCAUUUUGAGAGGCCGAGGCGGAUGGAUCACUUGAGGUGGGGAGUUCAAGACCAGCCUGGCCAACAUGGUGAAACCCUGCCUCUACUAAAAACAUAAAAAUUAGCCGGGCGUGGUGGCAGGCGCCUGUAUUCCCAGCUACUCGGGAGGCUGAAGCAGGAGAAUCACUUGAACCCAGGAGGCGGAGGUUGCAGUGAGCUGAGAUCAGGCCACUGCACUCCAGCCUGGGCAACAGAGUAAGACUCUGUCUCAGAAAAACAAACAAAAACCAUAACAGCAAGUGCAAACAUCAAGGAUUAGGCCAGGCGUGGUGGCUCAUACCUAUUAAUUCCAGCACUUUGGGAGGCUGAGGUGGAAGAAUCACUUAAAGCCAGGAGUUCAAGACUGGCCUAGGUAACAAAGCGAGACCCUUGUCUCUACAAAAAAUAAGAAAAUUAGCUGGGUGCAGUGGUGCACGCCUGUAGUCCCAGCUACUCAGUGUCCACUGAUAAAUAAAGAUGAUUGCUCGAGCCCAGGAGUUCAAGGUUGCAGUGAACCAUGAUCGCACCACUGCACUCCAGCCUGGGUGACACAGCAAGACGCUGGACAUUAAAAGAAAAAAAAAAAAGGUUUAGUGGUAGAGAGUAAGAAAACUGAAAAAUAGGAAGUUACAAUAAGACAGAUUAUUAGAGUUUCGAGCAUGGUCACAAGAGAGGAAUGGGUGGUUGAAGUGGAAGUGCACACAGAUUUGAAAAAAAUCAAGGCCUUGUAAGGCCAAUUGUAAGGCCAUACUUGAAAACAUUCAGGGUGGCAGAAUUUGGGAUGAAGACUGCAAAGCAGAAUUGAGGCCUCAGUGACUCCUGCAUAGUGACUGUGAGAUUGAUAGAUAACAGAGAACUGGUGAAGUAACCAGAUGGCAUUUGGGCCUUCUGACCCUUUCCAGACUUCAUGGAAGUGGCAGAAAACUGUAGCCAACAUCAGGGCCUCAAAUUGUGGUUCCACCAGUGACUAGCUACAUGGCCUUGGGCAAGUCAAUUUAACCUCUCUGUGCCUCACUUGCCUUAUCAGUAACAUGAAGACAUAAUAGUAUCCUCAAGUAAAGUGCUUACAAUAAGGCCAGCCACAUGUACCAGAGCACUAAAUGUCAGCAUCAUGACCAUUUCUCAUUUGAACAAUGAGGGCUUUGUUAACAGUCUCUAAGGCACAGAUUCUUAAAUAUUUUGGUCUCAGAAUCUUUUUACAUUCUUAAAAAUUGUCGAAGACGCCAAAGAACCUUUUUUUUUCUUUGAGACAGAGUCUCGCUCUGUUGCCCAGACUGGAGUGCAGUGGUGCGACCUCGGCUCACUGCCUUCCAGCGAACCGCCUUCCAGGUUCAAGCAAUUCUCCUGUCUCCUGAGUAGCGGGGAUUACAGGUGUGUGCCACCACACCCGGCUAAUUAUUUUUUGCAUAUUUUGUAGAGAUGGGGAUACACCAUGUUGAUCAGGCUGGUCUUGAACUCCUGCACGUGAUCUGCCCGCCUUGGCCUCCCAAAGUGCUGGGAUUACAGGCAUGAGCUACUGUGCCCAGCCCUAAGAACUUUAAAAAAAAGUAUUAUAUCUGUCAAUAUUUUUCAUAUUAGAAAACUGAGAAAAUAUUUUUAAAAUACAUAGUCGGCUGGGCGUGGUGGCUCACGCCUGUAAUCCUGGCACUCUGGGAAGCAAAGGCGGGUCAGGAGUUUGAGAUCAGCCUGGCUAACACAGCAAAACCCCAUCUCUCCUAAAAAUGCAAAAAACUUAGCCAGGCGUGGUGGCGGGGGCCUGUAAUCUCAGCUACUUGGGAGGCUGAGGCAGAAUUGCUUGAAACCAGGAGGCAGAGGUUACAGUGAGCCGAGAUGGCGCCAUUGUACUCCAGCCUGGGUGGCAGAAUGAGACUGUCUCAAACAAACAAACAAACAAACAAAAACGUAGUCACUUAAAAACAGUAAUAAACCCACUAUCUAGUAACAGAACACAUUUUAAAGAAAAAUAACUUAUUUUUUCCCAAAAAAUGUGGAAGUACGAUAUUGUUUUUCAGAUCUCUUUAAUGUUUGGCUUAAAUGAAGACAGCUGGAUUCUCUUCUUCUGCAUUCAAUCUGUUAGGAUGUGCUGUUUGCUGAAAGCAUGAAAAUCCUAGCACCUCACCUCACCUCUUGGGGACCUUGGACCGCACUUUGAGAACCAUUAGUUUUUCUUUCAGCUCUACAUCAUUCACAGCCGGGCCUGGUGGCUCAUGGCUGUAAUCCCAGGACUUUGGGAGGCUGAGGUGGGUGGAUCACCUGAGGCCAGCAGUUUGAGACCAGCCUGGGCAACAUGGUGAAACCCCGUCUCUACUAAAUAUACAAAAAUUAGCCAGGCGUCAUGGCACCCUCCUGUAGUCCCAGCUACUCAGGAGGCUGAGGCAGGAGAAUCACUUGAACCCGGGAGGCAGAGGUUGCAGUGAGCCGAGAUCGCACCACUGCACUCCUGCCUGUGCGACAGAGAGAGGCUCUGUCUCAAAAAAUAAAUAAAUAAAUAAAUAAAUAAAUAAUUUGUUCAUUCACUCACUCAUUCAACACUACUGGAUCCCAGAGACAAAGAACAAUGUGGUCGCUGCCUUUGAGGAGUCUAGUUGAGAAAAAAGAUGAAAACGAAUUAAAAAUUACAGCACGACAUGAGUGAGCAGAGGAGGAAGUUAGGAAAUUACUGGUUUGCCUAAGGGAGGCAGGGAAGGCUUACAGGAGUACAGGGAACCCGAAUUUUGACUUUACUUUCCUAUGCUCCACCUAAGCAGAAGGAAGAGUAUGCACAAAGGCACAGGGGCAGGAAUUAAUACAGUACAAGGAAGCCCAGGGUGCGCUGGCAGGAAGAGUCCGUAUGCUGGAAAAGCACGUUGGGCCUUAAAGUUACAUUUCAUCCUACAAGCCCCAGGAGGCUGGGGUGAUGAGAGCUUGCUUUUCUUUUUUUUUUGAGAGGGAGUCUCGCUCUGUCACCCAGGUCUGGACGCGAUCUCGGCUCACUGCAAGCUCCGCCUCCCGGGUUCACGCCAUUCUCCUGCCUCAGCCUCCCAAGUAGCUGGGACUACAGAUGCCCACCACCACGCCUGGCUAAUUUUUUUGUAUUUUUAGUAGAGACAGGGUUUCACCAUUUAGCCAGGAUGCUCUCGAUCUCUUGACCUCGUGAUCCGCCCAUCUCCGCCUCCCAAAGUGCUGGGGUUACAGGCGUGAGCCACUGCACCCGGCCAAGAGCUUGCUUUCCUUAUCUUAAUUCAGGUUUACUGAAGUAUAAUUUAUAUAGAAGUAAAAACCACCCUUUGGCUGGGUGCGGAGGCUCACGCCUGUAAUCCCAGCACUUUGGGUGGCCGAGGCGGGUAGAUCACUUGAGGUCAGGAGUUCGAGACCAGCCUGGCCAACAUGGUGAAACCCCGCCUCUACUUAAAAUACAAAAAAUUAGCCGGGCGUGGUGGUAUGCACCUGUAAUCCCAGCUACUUGGGAGGCUGAGGCAGGAGAAUCGCUUGAAUCCGGGAGGCGGAGGUUGCAAUGAGCCGAGAUCACACCAUUGCACUCCAGCCUGGGGGACAAGAGCGAGACUUCAUCUAAAAAAAAAAAAAAAAAAAAAAACCACCCUUUUAGGUGUAUAGUUCUAUGAGUUUUGACAGAUUCACAGAGUCAUCCAGUAAUGUAAAUACCACAAUCAAGUUAGAGAAUAUUCUCAUCAUCUCAAAAAGUGUGAUCAGUCCACCCUUCCCCAGCUCCAGUUGCCAGUAACCAUUGAUCUAAUUUCUGUCCCUAUACUUUAAUUUUUUACUUUGAAAUAAUCAUUUACCCAUAGGUAGUUGCAAAGAGGGCCCAGGUACACUUUCUCAAAUGGGAACAUCUUACAAAGCUAUGGAAAAAUAUCAAAAGCCAGGAAACUGACAUUGGUACAAUACUAUCAAGUAGACUACAGACCUUAUUCAGAUUUCACCAGUGCUUACAUCCAUUAGCUUAUUUGAAAAAACAUAAUUGGGCCAUAGUAUGAAAGAAGGGUCAGCCUAGCAAAAACACGCAUUAGUUACAGUUGUCCACAGAAGAAAGGAGAACUCAGGAGGGUGCAGAGAGAGGAAGGGACUGGAGGAAAACAUUUCUGGAGUGGAACAAAAAUCAUUUGGUAGACAAUUUGGUAUAAGGAUUUAAAUUAAUCCUUCUUGAUCUUCUUUUCUUUUUUGAGACAGAGUGUCACACUGUCACUCAGACUAGGAUGUGGUGGUACAAUCACGGCUCACUGCAGACUCGACCUCCUGGGCUCAAGCAAUCCUCCCACCUCAGCCUCCUGAGUAUUUGGGACCAAAGGCGGAUGCCACCACGCCCAGCUAAUUUUUUUUUUUUUUUUGAGACGGAGUCUCACUCUGUCAUCCAGGCUGGAAUGCUCCCAGGUUCAAGCAGUUCUCUGCCUCAGCCUCCCAAGUAGCUGGGAUUACAGGCGCGUGCCACCACAUCAGGCUAAUUUUUGUAUUUUUAGUAGAGAUGGGGUUUCACCAUCUUGGCCAGGCUGAUCUUGAACUCCUGACCUCGUGAUCCACCUGCCUCGGCCUCCCAAAGUGCUGGGAUUACAGGUAUGAGCCACUGCUCCUGGCCGCUAAUUUUUAUAUUUUCCGUAGAGAUAGGGUUUCGCCCAGGCUGGAAAUUAAUCCUUUUUUUGGAAAUGAAAUUUCCCAUAUGGCAGGGCAGCAAGCAAAAGGUUGUUUUAAAUUGAACAGCCUGACCGCUAAGUGAAUGAAGGUCAUGAAAACCCCAAAUAACCAUAAUAUUUCUGCUUACUCUUAUUUAAAGAGGAAAAAAAAUGGUUUAGUUACUCUCUCCUUACUCUUGCCUGACUGAAAAAAAUGAAGUAACUGUCGAAAACAAAGUUAUCUGUUUAGUUAGCUAACCCUCUGCAAAACCAAGCAAAUGAAAUCUCUAUAUUUACUCUUAGUCCCUCCUGCAGUUCAGUACUGUUGUAGGCUUUCCUAUCUGCUCCACCAUUUUAUCAGACUACAGCACUGAUAAUGCCUUAAUCUCUAUACAAUUUAUUUAUAGACAUCACUUACCCAUCAGGAGACAAUGGGAUCAGCGUUGUUCUCCCCAUUUUUACAGCCCAAGAAAUUGAGGCUCCUGAUACCCAGGAUCACAUAUGCCAACACCGUAAAAUGCUCAGAAAGGCAUCGACACAGAGCUUUACUUAAUACCCUUCUUUCUACUCCACCACACCCCAUUUACGGCCAGGUUGGAUCUCUUUCUACAAGAGAAAUGGAAUAAAUUUGUGCAGGAGCUCCAUACAGGCAAUAAAAAUAUCUCUGGUGACAAAGUCCUCAUUUAAACUCCAGUUUGUUUAUCACUAGUUACUACCAAAUACAGUCCCUUGGGAGUUCUGAGUGACCCAAAACCUACUUCCUGGACUUCAAGAUGAGCUUUUAGUUUCUUUGAAAUCAGGAAGUGUCUUAAAACCAGAUUCAAUGAAAUACGGUAACAAUCUUUUUACUGUGUCCUGUGCUAGGUAUUUUAUAUGCAUUUUAGCACUUAACCUCCAAACCUCUUAUUAUUAAACCUCUGUUGUUACGUCCAUUUUAAAGAUAGAAAAGUCAGGGCACAGAGAGGUUUAGAGAUCACACAGCCAGCAAAUGGUGGACAGUAUAAGAGUAACCUCAAAGCAAGCAGUACCCCAGAUUCCAAUUUCAGUUGACUUAGCCUGGUAACAGUUCAAUUUUAUGCAAAACCCACAACUUCAAAUGGAAAAAGAUAAAUUAAAACAACCACAAAAACCAGACAAAUGGAGGCUCAGCAGGCCUUGUAGCUCAUCCACGGUUACACAGAGGAUCUCAGAGCCAAAAUUCCAUGGCCGAUCCGUCUUGACUUCAAAGCGCGAUCUAUUUCCACCAAACCACGGAACCAUCGACACGUGGUAAGGGGCAGUACAAAGAUUUGUUGAAUUAAUAAUGCCUGAAAACAAAUUGACAAUAAGAAGGUAAAAAUGGAAAACACAGAUAAAAUCGGAAAAGCAGACCACUUUCAGGAAACAAAAAACUCCAAAUUUUCAAGGCAGGGCAUUCACGGUGAGCCAAGGCGCUGGGACAAAGUUUGCGCGGGUACCGCCGGACUCCCGGGCUGCCCGGCGCGGAGUCUUUAACGGAGAUGGUUCGCAAGGAAUCGGCCUCGGAGCCCGGCAGCCUCCUGGCUUCCCUCCUGACCACCAGUAACCCGGCCGGGAAACACUGGCGAAGACCGGGGGCCAGUCGCCUUCCCUUUCUGGGCUGUUGGCUUAAAAUACACACAAACACAAGUCCCCAGGCGGUCCGCGGCCUCUCAGUGGGGCUGGAGCUCGCUGCCCGAGGCCCGCCCGGAAGCCAUGCACCUGCGGACAGGAGUCUCUCCGAGUCGCAGCUCGCCGCCGAGAAGCACCCACCUCCCGCGGCCGGCGCAGCCCAAGGCCCUGGCCCCUAUAGCCCGGCCUAGGCCCGCCCCAGGCGGGGCUAGGGGCGGCGUGGCGGGCGGGCGCCCCUCGGGCCGCGCCGGUGAGCAGCGGGAGCCGGCGCCGGGCAUUUCCUCUUCCUCCCUACGCGCGGC
rnacentral:lncRNA from 1 species